rnacentral:rRNA from 1 species
GAUGGUUCAUUCAAAUUUCUGCCCUAUCAACUUUCGAUGGUAGAGUAGUGGUCUACCAUGGUUUCAACGGGUAACGGGGAAUUAGGGUUCUAUUCCGGAGAGGGAGCCUGAGAAACGGCUUACACAUCCAAGGAAGGCAGCAGGCGCGCAAAUUACCCAAUCCCGACACGGGGAGGUAGUGACAAUAAAUACUGAUACAGGGCUCUUUUGGGUCUUGUAAUUGGAAUGAGUACAAUUUAAAUCCCUUAACGAGGAACAAUUGGAGGGCAAGUCUGGUGCCAGCAGCCGCGGUAAUUCCAGCUCCAAUAGCGUAUAUUAAAGUUGUUGCAGUUAAAAAGCUCGUAGUUGAACCUUGGGCCUGGCUGGCCGGUCCGCCUCACCGCGUGCACUGGUCCGGCCGGGCCUUUCCUUCUGGGGAGCCGCAUGCCCUUCACUGGGUGUGUCGGGGAACCAGGACUUUUACUUUGAAAAAAUUCAGAGUGUUCAAAGCAGGCCUAUGCUCGAAUACAUUAGCAUGGAAUAAUAGA